rnacentral:rRNA from 1 species
AUUGAACGCUGGCGGCAGGCCUAACACAUGCACAUCGAACGAGUGGCGGACGGGUGAGUAAUGUCUGGGAAACUGCCUGAUGGAGGGGUAUAACUACUGGAAACGGUAGCUAAUAACGCAUACCAUCAGAUGUGCCCUGAUGGGAUUAGCUAGUGGGUGGGGUAACGGCUCACCAAGGCGACGAUCCCUAGCUGGUCUGAGAGGAUGACCGGCAACACUGGAACUGAGACACGGCCCAGACUCCUACGGGAGGCAGCAGUGGGGAAUAUUGCACAAUGGGCGAAAGCCUGAUGCAGCCAUGCCGCGUGUAUGAAGAAGGCCUUCGGGUUGUAAAGUUCUUUCAGCGGAGAGGCGUUACCCGCAGAAGAAGCACCGGCUAACUCCGUGCCAGCAGCCGCGGUAAUUC